rnacentral:misc_RNA from 1 species
AAAGUCGUAACAAGGUAACCGUAGGUGAACCUGCGGUUGGAUCAUUAUAAAAAAACAUUGAUGGUGCCUUUGGUGGCGGAAAGCAGGAGGCGCUGGAUUUUCCGCGCCCUUCCCCGACUGUCGACACCACUGGCAAGCUGUUGAAACCUGUAAAUGACUGUUGGUUGAUUGUAUGCAAAGUGACUUUGGUUCGCUUCCUGUGCCUGCGGUGCGGGAAGGGAAACAGAGCACGAAAGCGAAACGAUACACAACUUUUGGCAACGGAUCUCUUGGCUCUC